AACCAAAAUUUUAAAUACCAUAUGACUUGAAAAAGGUGAUUACCAGCCAAACUGGUACCGUGUGGAUUGGAUCUCCCACCUGGCAUUCACGAUGUUUCCUGCAUUUAACUCCACCAUUUCUUCAAAUCCAAGGGCAAAUGAAGAGAGGAAUAACCCAAAUGUAAAGGACAUUGUGAGAAACACAGAAAAAUAAAAGGCGAUGCAAUGGUCAGGUACUUUACGAUUCUUCCCUCCGGUCUUCUCUCGGGAUUUUGUGCCACAGGGACUCUGACCCCAGAGCCGUACAGGGUAUGUGUUUCCUUGAUAAAUGGGAACGAGAUUGGCCAAGUCUGUCAGGAAAGCAAAACCAUGCCCGAGGUUUGUUUGGCCAACGAUGGACCGUGAAGACGCAGGCGGUGCAGUGAGGAGCAAGUUGGUGGCUUUCAUGAUUUCUGAGUGACCUCUCCCAGAAACGGGCAUCUGCGUGUGCACGUGCUUCCUGGCAAAUCCAGAUGUGACGUGGAAAUCCUAAGGGAGGAGUUCCAGCCUUGACCACGCGUGACACAGGCUUGUGAAAAUGGAAAUGGCCUUGGCAGAAGAGCAGCUGUGAGGUGAAGCAGGACCGCAAUACAGGCAAGCAGAAGAACCAGGUGCUGCCCAGGGGGGACAUCUGUGGCCUGAGACAGCAAUUGCCAGGGAGGAAGGGGAGCCUUUGCACAGCUCACCUGCAGUGCUCAGGUGGUUGGGACAGGAUUGGUGUGGCCUGAGAAGGCCUGAACAGCUGUGUCUGUGUUCUGGAGUGCCUUGAAACCUUUCUCUGUCAGGUUUUGAAGGGGUUUCUCUCUGGGAUUUCUUGUGAUGCAGCACCCCGGGUGUCCCUUUGUGCCAAGUCCAGUGGUAAAGGAGUGAAGAACUGGCGAGUGGGGUCUGGGAUGAAAAUGGUUCUGUUAAAAUUAAGCAAAGAAUGUUAUAGGAAAAAAUAAUCAUCUUUUUAAUGUCUGAAAUAGUUAAGACUAAAAAUGCUGGGGGAAAGGCAUUUUUAUAUUUGAAGCAGUGUCACCUGUCAUAGAUAAAACCCCAUAGUGCACAAUCAGAGCAGAAUUGUGGAAACUGGGAUCUUUUCACUUCCGCAAUGGACUUCAUUUUCUUUUCCUCCUCUCUUUCAGGACCGGAGAAAUCAUUGCACUCCUCCCAUCUUUGCCAAAAGCUGUGGUGUUUGAGGAGCCAGAGCCAAGAGGCUUCAGCACCAGGGGUCUGCACUGGAGGGCUCCCGGUCCUGACCGCGCAGGGUUCCCCUUUUCUUCCCCGCUGGGAUGAAGUGUCUAUGGAAUCUGGGAUCUGGGUGAAACUGCGGCUCUGCUGGUAUCCAGGGACGUGAGGUUCCGGGGGACUGCGUUUCCCUGUGGCUUUCCAGGUCAGCAACAACCGGAGGAAAUGGGGUGCCAGAGCCGUGCCCCAUCAGGCCGUGUUUGCCUCUGAGGAACAGAGAGUCCGGGCUGAGUGAGAAGAACUUGAACUCCCAGCCAUUAAGUCUUGACAGUCCCCUGCAGUGAGAGCUCAGCACGCAUCCACAGAGACAAGUCCAGCA